ACGCUGGCGGCGUGCCUAAUACAUGCAAGUAGAACGCUGAAGGAGGAGCUUGCUUCUCCGGAUGAGUUGCGAACGGGUGAGUAACGCGUAGGUAACCUGCCUGGUAGCGGGGGAUAACUAUUGGAAACGAUAGCUAAUACCGCAUAAUAUUGAUUAUUGCAUGAUAGUCAAUUAAAAGGUGCAAUUGCAUCACUACCAGAUGGACCUGCGUUGUAUUAGCUAGUUGGUGAGGUAACGGCUCACCAAGGCAACGAUACAUAGCCGACCUGAGAGGGUGAUCGGCCACACUGGGACUGAGACACGGCCCAGACUCCUACGGGAGGCAGCAGUAGGGAAUCUUCGGCAAUGGACGGAAGUCUGACCGAGCAACGCCGCGUGAGUGAAGAAGGUUUUCGGAUCGUAAAGCUCUGUUGUAAGAGAAGAACGAGUGUGAGAGUGGAAAGUUCACACUGUGACGGUAUCUUACCAGAAAGGGACGGCUAACUACGUGCCAGCAGCCGCGGUAAUACGUAGGUCCCGAGCGUUGUCCGGAUUUAUUGGGCGUAAAGCGAGCGCAGGCGGUUAGAUAAGUCUGAAGUUAAAGGCUGUGGCUUAACCACAGUACGCUUUGGAAACUGUUUAACUUGAGUGCAAGAGGGGAGAGUGGAAUUCCAUGUGUAGCGGUGAAAUGCGUAGAUAUAUGGAGGAACACCGGUGGCGAAAGCGGCU
rnacentral:rRNA from 1 species